AGCUGUAAGAGAGGAAUCUAGAUGG
rnacentral:piRNA from 1 species